GAGUUUGAUCCUGGCUCAGGACGAACGCUGGCGGCGCGCCUAACACAUGCAAGUCGAACGAGAGGAAGGAAAGCUUGCUUUCCUGAAUCUAGUGGCGAACGGGCGAGUAACACGUAGGUAACCUGCCCAUGUGCCCGGGAUAACUUCUGGAAACGGAUGCUAAAACCGGAUAGGUAGCAGACAAGCAUUUGACUGCUAUUAAAGUGGCUUUGGCCAUGAACAUGGAUGGACCUGCGGUGCAUUAGCUGGUUGGUGAGGUAACGGCCCACCAAGGCGACGAUGCAUAGCCGGCCUGAGAGGGCGGACGGCCACAUUGGGACUGAGACACGGCCCAAACUCCUACGGGAGGCAGCAGUAGGGAAUUUUCGUCAAUGGGGGGAACCCUGAACGAGCAAUGCCGCGUGAGUGAGGAAGGUCUUCGGAUCGUAAAGCUCUGUUGUAAGAGAAAAACGGCACUCAUAGGGAAUGAUGAGUGAGUGAUGGUAUCUUACCAGAAAGUCACGGCUAACUACGUGCCAGCCGCCGCGGUAAUAC
rnacentral:rRNA from 1 species